rnacentral:sRNA from 1 species
AAAGGUUUCUAUGAAGUUUAGGAAUGGAUAGAUACGACUGGGAUAGGUUCUGAAGUAAAUCAUGAUUCUCUCUCGCCGUUUGGUCACUCACAUGAGCAUUUCCGUAGUCGGCAAUGGAUACCCCCUCUCCCAGAAUGGGUUAAAUGUAAUUUUGAUAGCGGCUAUGUGCAGGGACGUUCAUUUACAAAUACUGGAUGGAUAGUCAGAGACAAUAGUGGUUAAGUUAUUCGAUUUGGUUGGGCAAAACUUCAGGCAGCAAAUUCGGCGAUACACGCGGAGGCACUGUGAUUUCUCCACGCUUUACAGAUGAUUUGGACUCAUGGUUUCCGGUGUAUUGUGUUUGAAGGAGAUAACUUGGAACUAAUAAAGUUGGUAAAUACAAUGGGAGAUCACAACGAAAUAGAUACCCUUCUCUUUGACAUUCGGUUUUGGAUGGAUAAACUGCCACAGAUAUCUUUGCGACAUGUUAAUUGAGAACGGAAUGCAGCAGCGGAUACUAUCGCUAAUAAGGCUUGUUCUUUAAAUGGUUUGUAUCAAACUUUCACAACACCACCACAAUGGUUGGUUAACUAUCUGUAUCAUCCCUUUACAAUCUAAUGAAAGUCUAGAUGUUAAAAAAAAAAAACAAGAGAAUAAAAAUAAAAUAUUGGCUAUUUUAAAAAU